UUACAAUGAGCCUCCAUAAAGAAAUUCUACAGAAGAUCCACAAGGGUCAUUUAGGAAUUGAGAAGUGCAAACAACAAGCAUGAGAGGUGCUGUGCGGGCCACGGAUCAAUCAUGACAUUACUCAUGUGGUCAGAAACUGCUUUUCAUGCUGAAAUACAAGCCAUGCAAACAGGCAGAGCCACUGAGACCUCAUCCAGUUCCACAAAGGACUUAUGAGGAGGUAGGCACCGAUUUAUUUACCUGGGAACCAAAGGAUUAUUUAAGAGUCACAGAUUAUUAAUUCCUGCAUCCAGACAUUGGCACACUGCAUAAUACUAAGUCAGUGAUAGCUGGCAUGAAGGGAAUCUUCUCCAAACAUGGAAUUCCAGAUGAAGUCUUUAGCCAUAAUGGACUGCAACUUUCCAGGGCAGAUUUUAGGCAAUUUGCCAUAGAUAGGGAUUUUCAUCACAAAACAUCAAAUCCAAAUUACCCCCAAUCAAAUGGAUUUGUGGAAAGAUUUAUACAGACAGUAAAGAACCUUAUGAAAAAGACCUUUGACAGUGGGGAUGAUUUGUAUAAAGGAUUACUGGUUUAUCAAAGUACACCCCUGGAGAAUGGCUUUUCUCCAGCUCUGAUGUUAAUAGGAAGAAGGAUCAGAUAUAAUUUACCAAUUACUGAGAAUGUACUGAAAUCUCAUAACAAUGAUACCAUACAGAAGAUGAAAGAAAAUCAGAAGUGGAAGCAGAAAUAUUAUUUUGACAAAAGGGCCCGUGAUCUCCCAUCUCUUAGCCCAGGUGAUGGAAUGUGUCCAAGGAAUCACACCUCUAAUACUUGAGACCAAAGAGAUACCAUUAAAGAACAGCUGCAUCCAAGGUCUUAUGUAGACCAGACAGACCAGGGGGACACAUUUCGACGUAAUCAAAGGGAUCUAUGAGUAAUCCCAGAAAGUUCCAACACAUUGACAGUAGAUGUGGACUCUGGCAUUUCCCAUCUGACUGAUCCUUUAUCAUCAAUGCACAAAGGAGAAACUGCCAACGAACAAGAGAACAACUCAGACUGUAAUGAAAGGUUGAUACUGAGAAGACCAGAACGGGAAAAUAAAUGUCCUGAAAGACCAUAGAGACUUGCUAACCUGCCUGGGGAAUGCGUAUUUGAAGUGAGUGGUAAAAACUCAAUCAAGAGCGAUAUGCUGGUAAUCUCUCUUUACUAGAGCCCUGCCAAUGUCAUCCCAGCAGAGGACUGUGCGUGUGGCAGGAGAAGAAGAGCACAUUGGGGCUAGCUAUCCAAGCAAACGGCCACUGGGAUGGAUUUCUGGUCCUUUAUGAGAAGGAGAAUCCAGCAGAAGCCUCUCCAUCAAGAACGCCUCAUCUUCGGGAAUAAAAAGAAAAUACGCACAUGAUUUGUGUACUUGGGACACAUACAAGUGUGGAAUAGGGCCUACAACAGACAGAAGGAUUCAACUCUUCUCUUUGCAAAACCAAGACACUUCCCACACUGUCUGCCAGUAACAGAAGUACGCUGCUCCCCAGAUUCUGCAAGACAGAAGGAUUUCCCUUCUCCCAAGCUGCCAAACUUUUGAAGGUAUGACCCACUGGGUGGCUGUAGACAAGUCCCUUCACCACCUCUUUGUGCCUAAUCUGUAAAAAUGGAAUGGCACUCCCCUCCUUUUCAAAAAUGCUUUGAGCUCUACUGAGAGCUAUUUAAGAGCUAGGUAUCUUAUUAUUAAAGAUGCAGAUAGACACUUUUUUGAAAAUCCCACUGGUGCCUAGGUACCUAACUUCUCACUGAGAGGGAGGCACUGUUGCCUAGUAGAUAAAGCACCACACUCAAGAUACCUGGAUUCUAUUCCUAGCUCUUCUACUGGCCCACUGGGUGAUCUUGGGUAAGUCACUUUAAUUGCUCUGUGCCUCAAUUUCCCCAUCAUUACAAAGGAAGUCAGCAUCAUUAUUCCCAUUUUAAAGUUCUCUGGCAUCUUACUGAUGAAGAUUGUUAUAUAAGAGUUAGGUAUUUUUUAUUCCCCC